rnacentral:lncRNA from 1 species
UCCCUGUCCCCGGUGUCACCGCCUCCCGUCCUGUCCCUGGUCACCCAUUCCGGGUGUCCGCUGUCCCCAUCCUGCCAUCUCCGCUGUCCCCUGUCCCCGUCCUGCCAUCUCCGGUGUCCCCUGUCCCAUCCUGCCAUCUCUGGUGUCUGCUGUCCCCAUCCUGCCAUCUCCACUGUCCCCUACCCUCUGACCCCAUCUCCACUGUCCCCACCGUCCCCAGUGUCCCUGUUCCCAUCAUGCCAUUCCCGCUGUCCCCUGUCCCCAUCCUGCCAUCUCCGGUGUCACCUGUCCCCUGUCCCCGUCCCCGCUGUCCCCACUGUCUCCUGUCCCCAUCCUGCCAUCCCCACUGUCCCCUGUCCCGGUGUCCCCCCUGUCCCCCCCCCCCAUCCCCUCAUCCCCAUCCCCACUGUCCCUGUGUCCCUGCUGUCCCCAUCCCCGUUGUCCCCUGUCCCCAUUCCCACUGUCCCCUGUUCCCUGUCCCCGUGUCCCCGGUGUCCCCAUCCCCUCAUCCCCGCUGUCCCCAUCCCCUCAUCCCCGCUGUCCCCUGUCCCCAUCCCCGCUGUCCCCUGUCCCCAUUCCCACUGUCCCCUGUUCCCUGUCCCCAUCCCCGCUGUCCCCUGUCCCCAUCCCCGCUGUCCCCAUCCCCUCAUCCCCGCUGUCCCGUCCCCAGCCCCCCGGCGCUCCCGCCCGUGCCCCGCGGCGCUGUCGCGCUGUCGCGAUGUGGCGGUGUCGCGGUGUGGCCGCGCUCGCUCACGGGGCGAAGCCCUGGGCCCGCAGCGCGUCCCGGCAGCGCCGCUCCAGCUCGCGGAGGCGCGCCUCGAGCCGCGGGAACGCGGCGGGGCCGUACGGGAGCGCGCACGGCUCCUGCUCCUCCUGCACCGCGUCCGCCAGCGCCAGCCCCAGCGCCGAGAGCAGCCCGCUGUGCCUGCGGGGAGGGGACAGCGCUGGGACCGCGGGGACAGCGCGGGGACAGCCCCGGGACAGCCCCGGGACAGCCCCGGGACAGCGCCGAGAGCAGCCCGCUGUGCCUGCGGGGAGGGGACAGCGCUGGGACAGCCCCGGGACAGCGCGGGGACAGCCCCGGGACAGCGCGGGGACAGCGCGGGGACAGCCCCGGGACAGCGC